GACCCCUUCGUCUAGUGGCCUAGGACACUGGCCUUUCACGCCGGUAACACGGGUUCGAGUCCCGUAGGGGUCACCA
rnacentral:tRNA from 1 species